AACGAACGCUGGCGGCGUGCUUAAUACAUGCAAGUCGAACGUGAUUCCGUAGCAAUACGGAUGAAAGUGGCGAACGGGUGAGUAACACGUAAGUAAUCUGCCUCCAGGAUCGGGAUAACCCUGCCAACGCGGGGCUAAUACCGGAUGUGGUCCAGCAGACACAUGUUUGCUGGAUUAAAGGUCGCGAGACCGCUUGGAGAUGAGCUUGCGGCCCAUUAGCUAGUUGGUGAGGUAACGGCUCACCAAGGCUCGGAUGGGUAGCCGGCCUGAGAGGGUGUACGGCCACAUUGGGACUGAGAUACGGCCCAGACUCCUACGGGAGGCAGCAGUAGGGAAUUUUGCGCAAUGGACGAAAGUCUGACGCAGCAACGCCGCGUGAAGGAUGACUGCCUUCGGGUUGUAAACUUCAGUUGGAUGGGAAAAAAAGCCACGUAAGUGGAAUUGAUGGUACCAUUCGAGUAAGCACCGGCUAACUACGUG
rnacentral:rRNA from 1 species